rnacentral:lncRNA from 1 species
GGGACACUGCUGCUGCGGGGGCUGCAGGACGGGGAUGAGGGGACGUACAGCUGUGUGCUGCUGGGGAGCAACGACUGCGCCUGCGGGGGGGUGACGCUGCGGCUGUGGGGUGCCCCCUGCAGCCCCCCCUGCUCUGACGCCUCCACAGCUGCUGCCUUCAGCCUCAUCCCACCCCCACUCCUCCUCCUCCUCCUCCUCCCCACCCUCAUCCUGUGUGUGUGAUGAGUGUGUUUGCGCGUGAAUGUGCACACGCGUGUGCGUGCGUGU